UGUGCUCGGGGGAGCCCGGCUCGGUGCGGUCCCGAGAGGCGGCUCUGCGAGGCCGGGACAGCUCAUUGCAGCUCCCCUGCAACCUCCGGAGACUGCGCCGCUCUCCCCGGUGUGCCGGUGGCUUCGGGAGCACAGCAUCUCCUCUUCAUCUCUUCCGCCUUCCUUGCACCAGUCACGCUAAAUUUCACUUUGUAUCUACUAAUAAGUUUCAAAUCCUUAAUAUAACACAUACUGCAGAAUACACAGCAGAACAGUUUUUAAAUGACACUUGUCUUUGUGGCCUGCCGAAUUCCAGACUAAGCCUAUCCCAACAGGACACUACUGGAACAGCCGUGUCCCUGCCCAGCCUGCCCAUGGGGCUGGAUAUUUACCUGCUUGAAGGUGACCCUGCCUCGAGUUACCCUAUCUUAAACCCUCCAGGUUUAAGAUUCAACAUUCACAUUUGCUCAGCCUUUGACAGAAAGCCACGAGAACGGCUGUGUCCCUGCCAGCCCUUCCAACCAGCCCUGCAGGCAGAUGGAUGGCCUGACUCCUUGCCUGUGGGCAUUUCAGUGCUCUGACACUAACACCUCACUCGGGCCAUGUGCUCUGAUGGGCAAUUUCUUGUCUUUCUUGGUGCCAAGUGUAAGUUCACUGUCUGGAUAAGGCUGGGGUGCUGCUUAAAAUAGACUUUAUGUGCCUUGUUGGAUUUGUGCAAUGUUCCAUAAGCUGCUUUGGAAAAAGACAUUUGUGUCUACAUUUGAACUUUUCAGUCUGAGCGUUUUUAAAGCUCAUUCACAUCCUGAGAUAAGAUUAAGUCAUCAAGGUCAAUAAAACCUCUUUCCUUCCAUGUAUUUCCGUGCUUUUGCCUGAAGGGAUCUCUGAUUCAUACCUGACUGAGUAAAGGAUGUGAAGCAACUCAGCUGCUUUGGGAAGGGGGAGAAAUCCCCAAUUGCUACAGGCUGGCCUUUCAGCCUGCAUCGCUGCUCUAGGCUGUCACAUGAGGCACUGCAGAGGGAAGAGGUGUGCUGAUAGAAUUUCACUGCACUGGAAAAUACCCUGGAAUGUCUCAAAACUCCAAUACAAGAGGGAAGAUGUGAUGGAAAUAGAUAAUGGGUGUUGGAGAGAUUCUGGUCUGUUUGGCAUGCCUGUCCCAGUUCAGCUACAGUGUGAAGGUAUAUGACUAAAUGAAUUAUCUCUUAAGUGUCUAAAAUAAAAGAAAAGGCUGCCCAAGUUAUGAGGGCUGUGGCCUUCUCUCAAAGUACACUUUUCCUCUUGGGAUGAGUGAGAAGCCUUGCAGCAGCCAAGGCAAUGCCGAUGAAAACCAGGGCUCUCACUUUUGCAAACUCAUUGGCAGUUGUACCAACCCACACAAGUCUGUUCUGGCUUUCCUUGUGCCACUAUGAAGAGGUCUGAUGAAGCAGGUGAUCCAGCUGUGACAGAUAUUUUUUCACAAUGUCUGUGAACUUCUUCUGUGUUCCCAACAGGGAGGUCUGAUGUAAUCAUUACGACGUGGCCUAGCAGCAUGAAAUCUCAUGCACUGCCAGACAGAGGUGUAUUGUACAGAAACCCCCUUUUGUUCUGUUAUGAUGGUCUUGGGGAAGCACUUCAUUGCCACAGAGAAGGGUGGCUGAUGUAAACCCAACUGUCACUGUUGGGCAACACAGCAGGCGAGCUGGGAGCCAGAGCCCCGCGGUCACAUACUUCCCUUUGACAGUGACUCUGCAAGCAGGGCAGUGGUGUCGAAAUGCCCUCUGUGUUCUAAAAGGGGGGUGAGUGAUAAUUGCACAUCUGCCUCCUCCCAGCAGCUCAAAGUGAAGGGUCUGAGAGUGGUCAAUGCUCAAGACACAUCUCUGUUACACUGCAGCAGUUGCCUGUGGAGCGCAGGACUGAUAAACACAUCAACUUGGUGUUUAGGUGUUCCUGGUAUGUUGGUCCCAUGCUGUUCCUUCAGUCAUUUCUGAGGCUUAACUGAAGAGCAGAACAUCUGCCCAGGAUCAGACUAGGGGCAGGCUGACCCAGCACCCUAUCACUUGGAUCUCACUGGCAGCAGAUGCUAAAGGAAGAAUGGCAGAACUGGGUAACUAAUAUCUCUCUAGCUGCAGUCCUGGUUUCCAGUUAUCUGUGACUUAGGAGUCUUUAGAAGUGGUAUCUCCAAACAUGGAAGGCCUGAUGUGGUUUUCUUUCCUGACUGCCAAUUGCUUUUGCCAGCACUGGCUGCUUGAGCAAUGUGAGGGCAGUCUGAGAGCACCACUGCAAAGCUGCUCUUCCUGCUGUAUUCUCAUGUGGGAGAGAGCCUGGCAUGGCACAGAGACUGCAGUCACAGAGCAGGAGUGUGCAGGCUCACCACAGACCUUGGCCUGCUAUGCAUUGUAACCAUCACCAGUGCUUUGUACCCAGGAUAUUCAUUUGGUAGGAUCUCCAGAAAGUGGCAGCAGAGAAACUUGCCUAAUGUGUGGUUUCUGAAAGUAAUAUGCAGAGAAAAAAAAAAAAAAAAAGUUACUGCAUGUUCAGUAAAACACAGUAAUGAGUGUCAGAAACACAGUUGCUCUCUGCCUUCAUUGUCUGUGAAAAGGAAUUGGCACAAUCCCUUGACAACUUAAAUGCUUGUUAAUUUUUUUAGGAAAAAAAAAAUAAAAAAUAUAUAUCAGAAUCCAUAGUUGUAUUUUUUGAAUUCCAGGAUUGGAUUAUGUUCUCAGAAGUAAUGGUACUGAUACCAGCAGUGAAUAAAGCAGCUCCAUAGCUCAUGAUUCCUUUAAGAGAUAAAAUAUAUACAUCUUUCACACCUAGAGUAAGACUUAACUGUUUGUCUAGCCAUGUAAUAAGAUUACGUCAAGAAAAAAAGAUAGUCCUUUGAGGGAGCAUAUAUGGGAAAACAUAGCUUUAUUUUUCAAUGAUGGGCUGGAAUUAAGGAGAUAGGCGGCUGCAAUACAAACUUUAUUUUGAAGCAAAAUCUUUAGACAAGGUUACUUAGCACCAAUGAACAGAGAACUGGUCUCAACUGAACAGGUAUGUCAGACCUGGGGAAAAAAACUCAUAUAAAAAUCCAAAUGUACUCAUUAAAAUUAAAUAAGAAUAAAUUUGAGCUACCUGAACUUGCCUGACCCCUGGCUGAUGCUAUUUUGCUGCUAUUUUGCUACUUCUUUAGGAUUAAGGAUUUUUGAUGCUAUUUUACUACUUCUUUAGUAUUAAGUCAACACUACUGCUGUUCCCUGAAUACUAUUCUUAACAGUGUAUGAAGUACAGGAUGUCUUCUGGGUCAUUCAGCAGCUGUGACAGUUAGUGGGGUUUUCUUAUCUCUCACUGUCCAUCUGAAAAACAGCUUUGAACCUCCUGGUUGGUGUCUGCCUUUUUUUUUUCCUCUCUCUUUCUGUCUCAUUUUUCCCUCCCUUAACCAGAGGUCUAAAAUAAAUGCGCCAACCACAUAAUCAGCCAUGAACAGAAAUAUCCUCUGCUGGAGCCCAGCCUCUGACUCUUGUUGCUGUGCAUCUGCCAGAAAAGAGGACAGGAAGGGAGGAUGGCACUAACAGCAAAACUUGGAGGUCCACGUGGUGUGUUGAUUUGUUUUUCUUUUUCUGAACAAGGUGUUGAUACAACUCAAAGCUGAGGUUGGCCAGUGAGACAGGGUUCAGCCGAGUGAGUUUUGCUGACAAGAAGUGGCAGUUGAGAAAUUUUGUGCCUAGAGGCAGGCUGGUGGUGAGGAUGAAAUGUCUCUAACCUUGAUGGCUGAAGAGAUCCCUGCCCAGAUGCAGGGAUUAAAGAUCUCCCCAGUGAGUUCCUCCAUGAUGCACAGCUUGGUUUUCAAGGAGUAACUGUGAUAUCUUCCUGCAGCGUUGCAGGUUGUUUUAGUGGCUAGAGCUAUGCUGUCAUAAUCAGCCAUCUUCUGGAGGGAACUGUGAAAACACUCACCCCAUCUUGUUCCCUGGAGAAUCCAGCACCACGAGUGCUUUCAGAGGCACAGGGAAGUGCUGCUCCUGGUCUCCCCUUUCCUCCUCUCCUCUCCUCUCUCACACGGUCGCUGUGGUCGCUCACAUAAACACCUUUAUUUUCACUCUUUUCCCCCGUGGGCAUGCUGGGCUCUCACUGGGUCUCACAGCUUCUCCCAAGCAGCACCUGUAAUGCUGAGAAGUGUCACAGCUCACCCACACCUGGACAAACUGACAAAAAAGAAGGGCGGUGUUAGAGCUGACUGCUGGCUUUGUUAGAGCGUGGGUCAUUAACACCUCGCUGCAGGGCAAGGCAGUGCCUGCUGUUCUCACAGAUAGCUCAGGAGAAAGUCUGGUAGUAACUGUCUCUCUGAGAUUUAGUCUGAAAGCUCUGCAAGAACUAAGGAUGAAGAAAAACAAUUUGAACAGCUAGCCAAUGCAGGAGUAAAUAAUAGUAUUCUUCACCUGGGAGAAGAAACUCCAGAAGAAUGGUUUGGUAUUUUUGAAUUUGAUGUAUGAAUAAUUUGUCUUUCCAUUCUUUCAUAUGGUGGUUUCAAAACUGAUGGACUUAAUUCUAGAUGCUGCAGGAUGUCAGAACUGGAUUGACUGAGUAAACUGAAAUGGAAGACAGUCAUUGAUGACUGGAGUUGGGUCUGACUUGGUAACACACAGCUUUAAUUCCUUCAAAAGGAGUAUAUUGACUUUGAAGAUAUUUGUGUGAGAAGCUGUCCCAGUGUAAAAUCUUCUGGUGUGCUGCAAAGGCGUGCUGACCAAGGGCCAGAUUCUGCAAUCACCUGGCCUUGGCUAAGUCAGUUUGGAUCACAGAAACAUAGGAAGUUAAGGGCUGGAAGGAACCUCAAAGAUCAUCUAGUCCCAAUUCCCCCUGCCAUGAGCAGGACACCUUCCACAGGACCAGCUUGCUCGAGGCCUUUUCCAGCCUGGCCUUGAACUCUGACAGUGUUGGGGCUUUCACAACUUCCCUGGGAAAUUUGUUCCAGUAUCUCACCACCUUUACAGUAAAUAAUUGCUUCCUAACAGCCAGUCUAAAUUUCUUCUCUUUCAGUUUGCACCCAUUACUCCUUGUCGUGUCACUACAGUUCCUGAUGAAGAGUCCCUCUCCAGCUUCCAGUAUCUGUAGGCCCUUCAAAUACUGAAGUUGCUAUAAGGUCUCCAUACACCCUUCUCUUCUCCGGGCUGAACAGCCUCAACUCUUUUCCAUAUCUUUGUUAGGAAGGUGUUUCCAUCCUCUUAUUCUAUCCUUUGUGGAUCUGCUCUGGACUUGCUCCAAGAGUUCUGUGUCCUUUUUGUUUCAUGUCAGCGUGAAUUGAUCUGCACAGAGCAGCAUCAAUAUUAAAUGAGUCCCAUUUUUUCCAUGUCCAGUACAAACCUGCUAAUCCUUCAUGUCCUACUUUAUGGCAGGUAAAAAGUACAAGAAUUUGAGACUGCAGUGUGAGAGAAUUUGCUGCAUGCUAAUCAAAUGGAUGCACUUUUUUAAAGUGAUUUUCCAAGAAAAUUUGGGGAGCAGUGUGCAGAAGCCUCUGAAGCAUUAUUUGAUGACCGUCUGUGAUGGCCACAGCUUCUCUACCUCCUUUCUUCCUCUUCCCAGAGCAAGCUACAGAGCUGUGUGCACUGCAGGGGCACUGCAAACACUCCCUUCAUUGGGAAAUGCUGAGUGUGAUUUCAAGGCUGUUGCACAGAGUAGGGCAGUGUGGUGACAUCUGCAAAGUAUAGGGGAAAUCAGCUUCUCUGAAAGCCUUUCAGCUUGGACAUUACUGUGUGCCCACAGGACUGGGCUGGGGUGUAGGCAAAGCAGAGUGUCCUAGCUGGAGGAGGAUGCUUCAUCUCCCACUGCCCCAGCUGAUGAGUCUCAGGUUUCUGGUGGCAUGUUGGCUAGAAAGCCUUCAUGGACUGAAGCUCAUGCUGCUUGCAUAAAAAAAACUACAUAGACUACAUGAACAGACCUACUUCUUUCCCCCAGUUAAAACCAAAGUAAAAACAGAACGAAACCACUCAGACCUGUCCAUUCCUCUUUUACUGUAUAUUUUAAAACACAGGCAAAUGAAAGAGGAACUGGACAGUAACUGUAUUCCUCAUUAUCUAGCUCUUCCUUGGGCACAGGGAAUGGGUUUGACUGUUUGCAGGAUGGCUGUUCUUGUUAUGUGUGCACAUAGCCUCAGGAGUACCUUGUAGGUGCUCCCAGAGGGCUCAGUUACUUGGAGGCAUAAGUAAGUGCUGUCCAGAUUAAGGGUUUGGUCAGAGCUGCAGAAACAUAAAGUCUGUGGUUACAGUCCUGGCAUGCUGAUAACGUAACUGAAAGCUGCUGGACUAGGGCAGGCCCCAGCCACCAGCACCGGAGGGUGUCUGUGGGGUUUGGUUGAAGAGCCAGACAGCAGUGAGAAGGCAAAACUGGAAAGGAAGGGCUGCAGCUGAAUUCUAGGAGUGGGAAAACCAAUUCUACAAGAGGGAUGUCCCGCAAGUGUCCAUCACACUGUCAGAGCUCGAUGAUGGCAAACAUGCUUGGGAUGGUGCAGACAGAGCAAGAAUUUUUUAAUGAAUCCUGGUUUUACAAAAUAUACUGUGUAUCACACUGGCCUAGAAAGAUGAGGAAUCUCUAAAAUUCCUGGGUUUGUUUGAAUUAAUUUUGCUAUUGCCUGGCCAGCUAUGCUGCUGGCCUGGGCAAAUGCAGCUUGCUAGUUUCUGUUCCCACAGCUGUGCUGGCCAGUUGGGGUUCUGGCCGGGCUGGACAGAAACAGCACUGGUGCUGGGUGCCACCUGAGAGUGCCUCAUACUGAGGGCGGUACAGGGAGGGGACAGGAGAGGAGAAACUGUGGGACUUGCUUUGGUUACAGCUCUGAACUAAGCACUGGUGUUUACUUUUUUGUACAGGCAUUGUGGAUGCUCCGGAGACAGCGACGGGGACCUCAGUGGACACCAGAAUGUGUGGAGGGACCAGCAGGGGCACAGAGGGAGGGCCAGCUCCUUGUUCGAGUGCUGCAACUGGGAAAGCAAAACCUGUCUGCUCGUGUGAGUGUGAGGGAACAGAAGAACUGAGGCAUGGCUGUGAAUUCAAAAGUGAGGUGAACUUGCGGGACAGCUUUUGGAACAAAACCUCCUGCAGUGGCUGAAGUGUCAGCCCACUCAUGAGAACAGAACUCUGUUUCUCUGUGCCUCACUCGGACUCCUCUCCGGGUAAGAGAUCCAGCCCUCUGUGCACAGCCCGGGCAUGAGCCUGUCUCCUGAACCCAGAGCCCUUCUGGCUGUUCUUUGUGCCUUCACAGCCGUCUCCAUGGCCCCUCAGCAGCCAGGGCAGCGGAGCCUGAGCACUGCGAGAUCGAUGGCCUGCGGUGGCCGGACUUGGGACGGUGGCUGUGGCUGCUCCUGGUGCCCUUCCCGGUGCUGCCGGCGGCUGACCCGGCCGCAGGCUCUGUGUGCCCGGCCCUCUGAGGCGUCCUGGCUGCUCUGGCCAAAGGCCGAGGCGCUCGCCCUCAGCCCGCUCGUGAGCCGCGUGCCCCGCGGCAGGAUGGGGAGAGCUGCUUUCACAACCUGGAUGUGUUGUCACUCACAUCCAGACAUUUCCUGUUAUCUAACCUCAGCCUUAUCUUCCCCAUUCGCAGCUUCCUCUUGAAGGAGGAGCAGCCCCUUCAAAACCGAGCUGUGUGGCCGGGCUGUGCCCCCACGGCGCUCCUGCACGGCCCCCGCUGCGGCCCCGCGCUGCCGGCCCUGCCUGCCCCGGGUCAGGAUGGCCCAGCUAUGAACAGUCUCACAGCCCUGUAAAAAUACCUGAGCAAUACCUGACGAUGUGCACCGUGGAGGGGACUUUUCCUGAAUUUGGUAUGUUUCUGUAUGUGAUAUUAGAUGGAAUCCUAUGAUCAUCUGUGUAAAAUAGAGUCACAGAAGUUAGAGGUAGAAAUGGUUGAUGAAUUGCCCACUGUAUGAUACUGCUAAUAAACUUAAUCUAAUUCUACUUUAGUGUCUUUAAUGGUCUACCUUAAAAAUAUAAUUAAAAACAUUUCAGUUUUUAUUUUGAUACUAAAAAUAGCAUGGUGAUGCUGGUCAUGUGAAAUUAAAAUCCGUGGACUGGUGAGGAAGCUAAAACACCACGCUAAAAACUCAGCUAUAUCUGAAUAUGUCCACAAAGAGUAUGAAUGACUAAAACAGUGUUGUUCAGAAUGGGUGUAUGAUUUAGGAGCCAGUAUGGAUUUUUCUGGGAAAGUUGUACAGUAUCAGAAUUUCAAAUCUGUUUUUAGGCUGAAUUUCUAAACAGUAAGCAUCUGAGCAGGACACAGAACAGAGUAAUACUGUGAAAUAUCUUCUCUUGUGUAUGUUUUGUUAUUUAGUUUUCUUCAGGUGCAUUUCUGCAUUUCCUGCACACUUCUGUUAAAAGAACAAGGGAAUAAGAGUAUCAUUUGUAUUUGUGCAAGAAGCGUAUAUGUGUGUGUGAAUAUGCUGUUCACCCUUAAAGGCUGGAUUAUGCCAGCAUUUGGAGGUGGAAAGCUUCACUUAUUGCAGGAGAGGCUUUUUCUGUUUGCUAGAAGUGAAGCAGAAGGGGGUUAGUUAGUCAACGGAAGAGAAAGUUUCACUUCGCUUCUGAAGAAUUUCAUUGUUUCCCUGUGUGGAGCUUGGUUUUCUUUCAGCAUCACAAUCUUUACAGUAUUCUGCCAAAUGGAGGAGCCUCCAACAGAGGCACUGAUGAACCCCUAUGUGCAUGCCCAGGGGCAGAGUUGUACUUAUUUUUCUGACUUUUGAAUUAAUAUAGCGGAUUCUUUUCCUUAGCAGAAAAGCAGUGUUUGCUGGUGUGGUUCUCUCUCACCCAAAACAGAGUGCAGGAGGGGGGAAUAUGGGAGGACUAAUGAUGCUUUUUGCUAACUGAAAAAAGCCUCUGAAGUUAACAACAGUUGCUGUGCUUCUUUUCUCUCUGUGUGCCUAGGUUGGCAUCCAGCGAGGACACUGUGACCCUGGGAGCUGCAGUGUGGCACUGCGUGUAUUUGACAAGCUGAGUCCGACACUCAGUGUGCAGAGUGUCAGUUUGUCAAAUACCCCAAGUGAGGCACUGCUGAGCAACGUAACGCCGAGGGUCCAGCCCUUUCCUCCUGCUCUGGCAGGAGUCUUCCUCUCCAGGCUCGGCACCUCUCCAAAAACCCACCGAGGUACUCAGUAGCCCGUCCCGUUGUUCCAGAACUGACUGAUCCUGUGCUGCCAAGUUUCCCUUCUUCCCUGGUUUUGGAAGUGUCUGUCGGGGUAUCCCUCCCAACAGUAAAUCAGAGCAGAAGUGGUGCUGGUGCAAUUUCUCUGCACUGUGAAGACAGGGAAUUGUGCCCUGGGUCCUUGUUCUCUGCAUCCAAAUACAAUGCUAUUCUCUUACAAGCAUUAACUAGCCAGCUUAAAUUAAACUCAGUUAACAAGGAUCCUGGCAAGUACAAUCACAACAUCAUGGGUGAAGGCAGCAUUAUCUGUAAUAAUCUUUCCUUUGCACAUGGUAGUAAUCUUUUUUAUAUGGAGUACAAACUAAUGAGGCUGCUUGUUAACUUCCCUCUGGCCCAUUAGCCUGUGAAAAAUGCAUGUUUGCUCAAUCUGUUUUAAAUUAGGCCAUGGAAUCCAUUGCCCCUCUUGGGAGCUUUGCUGUUUGGAGAAGACUUUUUGUCUUUGGAUGGUUAUUCCUAGUCAGCACUUGCAGCAAGGUUGCCUAUUCUGCUAUUUAAUUAAAGUAAUUCCCUCUAAAUUGUCCCACUUGAAGAUGUAAUGAUUGUUAAGUGUUUUCAGUAACUAACUUGUAGCAUUUCAGAUAUGUCAGGGUAGGGGAAUGACAGGGGCAGUAUCCAACCCAAUUUGACAAAUCAAACUCUUUGAAAGCAUUUGACAUGGAAAACUCAAAAAUAAAAUAAAAAAUUCCAAGAUCCUACCGACUAGUUUUAGGACAAUACCACCAGCAAAUUUUGCAAUAUUUGAGAGUAUUAAUAAACUUGAAUACUAAGCUUU